AAUGAACGCUGGCGGCGUGCCUAACACAUGCAAGUCGAACGAGAAAUUUCCGCUUUCGGCGGAGAGAGUAAAGUGGCGCACGGGGUGAGUAACGCGUGGGUAACCUGCCCUCGAAUCUGGGAUAACUUCGCGAAAGCGUUGCUAAUCCGGAUAUUGUUCCUUAAGCUAUGGCUUUUGGGAUAAAAGGUGACCUCUUCAUGAAAGUUGCCGUUUGGGGAUGGGCCCGCGUACCAUUAGCUUGUUGGUAGGGUAAUGGCCUACCAAGGCUACGAUGGUUAGCUGGUCUGAGAGGAUGAUCAGCCACACUGGAACUGAAACACGGUCCAGACUCCUACGGGAGGCAGCAGUGAGGAAUUUUGCGCAAUGGGGGAAACCCUGACGCAGCAACGCCGUGUGAGUGAAGAAGGCUUUCGGGUCGUAAAGCUCUGUCAAGUGGGAAAAAAUACUUCCGAUUAAUAGUCGAGAAGGGCUGAUGGUACCACUGGAGGAAGCACCGGCUAACUCCGUG
rnacentral:rRNA from 1 species